rnacentral:rRNA from 1 species
UACGGCUCAGUAACACGUCAAUAAUCUGCCCUUAGGUCAGGCAUAACCUUGGGAAACUGAGGCUAAUUCCUGAUAGAAGAUCGAUACUGGAAUGUUCUUUUGUUCAAAAGCAAUGCCUAAGGAUGAGUUGGCGGCUGAUUAGGCUGUUGGUAGUGUAAUGGACUACCAAACCUUUGAUCAGUAGGGGCCUUGAGAGAGGUAGCCCCGAGAAGGGUACUGAGACACUGACCCUAGCCCUACGGGGUGCAGCAGGCGCGAAAAUUUUACAAUGUACGUAAGUGCGAUAAAGGAACUCCAAGUGCUCAUGCUUUGCAUGGGCUUUUGCCAAAUGUAAAUAAUUUGGCGAAUAAGUGGUGGGUAAGACUGGUGCCAGCCGCCGCGGUAAUACCAGCGCCACGAGUGGGAAUCAUGUUUAUCGGGCCUAAAGCGUUCGUAGCUGGUUUAGUAAGUUUUGAGUGAAAUCGUUGCGCUUAACAAAACGACGUGCUUAAAAUACUACUGGACUUGAGACCGGGAGGGGUUAAGAGUAUUUCGGAGGGAGCGGUAAAAUGUUAUAAUCUUCGAAAGACUGCCUGUGGCGAAGGCGCUUAACCAGAACGGGUCUGACAGUGAGGAACGAAAGCCAGGGGAGCAAAGCGGAUUAGAUACCCGCGUAGUCCUGGCCGUAAACGCUGCGAGCUAGAUGUUGCAUGUUCUACUUGAAUAUGCAGUAUCGAAAGGAAGCUGUUAAGCUCGCCGCCUGGGAAGUAUGGUCGCAAGACUGAAACUUAAAGGAAUUGGCGGGGGAGCAC